rnacentral:rRNA from 1 species
UAGAGUUUGAUCAUGGCUCAGGAUGAACGCUAGCGACAGGCUUAACACAUGCAAGUCGAGGGGCAGCGGGGCGGCAGGCUUGCCUGCCGUUGCCGGCGACCGGCGCACGGGUGAGUAACACGUAUGCAACCUGCCCGUGGCAGGGGGAUAAGCGGGGGAAACCCCGUCUAAUACCGCGUAACGCGGCCUAGGGACAUCCCAAGGCCGCCAAAGGGAGCAAUCCCGGCCACGGAUGGGCAUGCGGCGCAUUAGCUAGUCGGCGGGGUAACGGCCCACCGAGGCGACGAUGCGUAGGGGUUCUGAGAGGAAGGCCCCCCACACUGGUACUGAGACACGGACCAGACUCCUACGGGAGGCAGCAGUGAGGAAUAUUGGUCAAUGGGCGCGAGCCUGAACCAGCCAAGUCGCGUGAGGGAGGACGGCCCUACGGGUUGUAAACCUCUUUUGCCGGGGAGCAACGGGCGUCACGUGUGGCGCCACUGAGAGUACCCGGAGAAAAAGCAUCGGCUAACUCCGUGCCAGCAGCCGCGGUAAUACGGAGGAUGCGAGCGUUAUCCGGAUUUAUUGGGUUUAAAGGGUGCGUAGGCGGAUCGUUAAGUCAGUGGUCAAAUUGAGGGGCUCAACCCCUUCCCGCCAUUGAAACUGGCGUUCUUGAGUGGAAGAGAAGUAUGCGGAAUGCGUGGUGUAGCGGUGAAAUGCAUAGAUAUCACGCAGAACCCCGAUUGCGAAGGCAGCAUGCCGGCUUCCGACUGACGCUGAAGCACGAAAGCGUGGGGAUCGAACAGGAUUAGAUACCCUGGUAGUCCACGCGGUAAACGAUGAGCGCUAGGUGUCCGGGGGGAAUGGCCCCUGGGUGCCACAGCGAAAGCGUUAAGCGCUCCACCUGGGGAGUACGCCGG